AAGAGGCAGGCAGAGGCAACUCCAGAGCCUUUGUGUCACUUUCCUUCUGGGCCCUGGAAGUGGCCACCCUGGCCACCUUGGCUCACAUGACUCAGAGGACAGUUCCCAGUUCUGAGAAAGCUUCAGGUGGUCCUGAUUGUGGCCGUCCAUCUCCAGCAGCCGAAUGGCCACCUCGCCAUGCCAACGGCCUCGGUGCACCCGGCCCCAGCGGCCCUGCCCAAUGGGCUCGCCCAGUUCCACCUGUUCAAAGGGGAUGUCCCACUCUUGCAGGAGCUGGGAUCACAGGCGUGCAUCACCACACCUGACUGAGAUGAAGACAGCGAUUCUUGGCCGGGAUCAGAAACCACCUAUCAAGCUCUGCAAGCACAGAGAUGCCAACCCCCACCCCAGGCUGACUGACUUAGCUCUCAGGCCCAGUGAGAAGGUAAUUCCAGUGACGACCAGCAGGGGGUGCUGUGUGUUAAGGCUGGGAAAGGCAAAGCCAGCUGACAGAUGCCAAUGCCUCAGUGUGCCCCUGCACCAGUUAGUUCCCUGUACGUUCUGUAAAAGGCUAGGCAGGAUGUCCACACCUCCAGGACUUUUCGCCCUCCUGCCCAGCUGCAGUGGACUCAAGCGUGUGGGGAGAAGGCACCCGGCGGGCUGGUCCCAGCAAGGGGCAGUUA
rnacentral:lncRNA from 1 species